AUUGAACGCUGGCGGCAGGCCUAACACAUGCAAGUCGAGCGGAUGAAGGGAGCUUGCUCCUGGAUUCAGCGGCGGACGGGUGAGUAAUGCCUAGGAAUCUGCCUUGUAGUGGGGGAUAACGUCCGUAAACGGGCGCUAAUACCGCAUCCGUCCUGAGGUAGAACGUGGGGGAUCUUCGGACCUCACGCUAUCAGAUGAGCCUAGGUCGGAUUAGCUAGUUGGUGGGGUAAAGGCCUACCAAGGCGACGAUCCGUAACUGGUCUGAGAGGAUGAUCAGUCACACUGGAACUGAGACACGGUCCAGACUCCUACGGGAGGCAGCAGUGGGGAAUAUUGGACAAUGGGCGAAAGCCUGAUCGAGCCAUGCCGCGUGUGUGAAGAAGGUCUUCGGAUUGUAAAGCACUUUAAGUUGGGAGGAAGGGCAGUAAGUUAAUACCUUGCUGUUUUGACGGUACCAACAGAAUAAGCAACGGCUAACUUCGUG
rnacentral:rRNA from 1 species